rnacentral:rRNA from 1 species
UACGUAGGGGGCUAGCGUUGUGCGGAAUCAUUGGGCGUAAAGCGCGCGUAGGCGGCCCGGUAAGUCCGCUGUGAAAGUCAAAGGCUCAACCUUUGAAUGUCAGCGGAUACUGCCGGGCUAGAGUCCGGAAGAGGCGAGUGGAAUUCCUGGUGUAGCGGUGGAAUGCGCAGAUAUCAGGAGGAACACCGGUGGCGAAGGCGGAUCUCUGGGCCAUUACUGACGCUGAGGAGCGAAAGCGUGGGGAGCGAACAGG